GACGAACGCUGGCGGCGUGCUUAACACAUGCAAGUCGAACGGAAAGGCCUGCUUUCCCUUAUGGAUUGCGGGUACUCGAGUGGCGAACGGGUGAGUAACACGUGAGUGAUCUGCCCCCAACUUGGGUAUAAGCCUGGGAAACUGGGUCUAAUUCCCGAUAGGACUGCAGGGUGGUGCCUGUGGUGGAAAACGAUUUUCUAGUGGUUGGGGAUGAGCUCGCGGCCUAUCAGCUUGUUGGUGGGGUAAUGGCCUACCAAGGCGGCGACGGGUAGCCGGCCUGGGAGGGUGGACGGCCACAUUGGGACUGAGAUACGGCCCAGACUCCUACGGGAGGCAGCAGUGGGGAAUAUUGCACAAUGGGCGGAAGCCUGAUGCAGCGACGCCGCGUGGGGGAUGACGGCCUUCGGGUUGUAAACUCCUUUCGACCGCGAGGAAGCCACCUGGUUGGAAGGGUGGUGACGGUAGUGGUAGAAGAAGCACCGGCUAACUACGUG
rnacentral:rRNA from 1 species